rnacentral:lncRNA from 1 species
ACUUGGGCACUUUUGUCUCUGCAACAUCCUGAUUUUUCAAGUGAAAGGACACCAGGUCCAAGCCUGGGUAUCCAGAUUUGUCUGCACUAACACUUCCCAAAGAACCAUUUUAUAAUUGACUUGCAGAUUGGUAGCCUCUUAAUUCCCCCAAUAACUGCAAAGAAUCCCCUAGCUUUUAUUACAUAUAUAUUUAUUUAACACUCUCCAUUUACUAACCCUGGUUUAAAAAUAAAGAAGGGAGAACCCCAAAGCUUAUUUUUGCACCUGGGGGAAUGAGAAGAUGAUGGUCUUGGAAAGGUGACCAUAGGGCUGAGCACACCUGGUGACCAGAACAGCUCUUGGAAAUCCCUAUUCAUGCUGGCAACACAGUCUUUCAAGUCCUUUGAUAAUUUCUUGGCAGAAAUUAAUAAUCAGCUGUUCCCAUGUAUAGAGCACUGAUGAACUUAACAAUUGUACAAUUUUAGGGACCUUUGAUUGCAACGGCUUUUACAAAUGGAUACCAUUGAAACGUUACACAUGGUUGGUUGCCAUCUCACUUGGAGAGUCUCUCUGGAUGUCCGGGCAAGACAGGGCGAAGUUUCUGAAGGGGCCCACGGUUGGGUGAUCUCAUCAGACUUUGAGCACUACAUCAUCAUCACCAUCACCAUCAUCAUCAUCACCGCCAACGCAAACUGGAGGUGGCACUCGAAGGACUUGGGUGGUUUAAAAUCUCUCUCAUCAUCUCAUGAAUCUGCUGUACUAUAAAAACAACAGCUUUUAAAAGUAUGUAUAUAUAAAACCCAUUUCUUGUUCGUUUUAUUUUCUCGGUGGGUUUCCCCCCCUCUUUUUAAGCCUCUCCAAACCCACAUCUUUUCGUAGCCUUUUGGACAUAGUCUCGUAGCCACGUAGUCGCAAUUCUUUGUGUAUGUAGCGAGAGCCUAACCAUAGUGUAACUGUUAUAUUAAGGGGUUUCUUUUGCUUUUUCUUUCCCACCUCCCCUCCUCCUCCUCCUCCUCCUCCUCCCUUCUGUUUUACGUAGUUGUUGUUGCUUAAAGGAUGCUGAGAUGGUGACAGGAGGCUCGGCCGCGGGGGGAGCGGCGGGCAGGGCGCGGGGAGGGGGGAGCAGCAGGUUCUCUGGCCCUUCUUUUCCUUUGUGGCGUCUUGGUUACUCUAAUUCUCUCUAUUUUCGGCAAUAAGGCGAGGGCGACAAACUUUUUGCGCGUCCUUUUUCUAUAUAAGUGCUUUUUUUUGUUGAAAGAGGUGAUAUAAGGUUUUUUGAAAUUGUGAAUUCUGAAAAAAAAAAAAAGAGAAAAAAUAAUAAAGUGCUGUAAAUACAAUUCCAUUAACUACAUAGAAACUAUUAAGAAAGAGAAAUACAAACCUAUUUUUGUGAUGGAGUCAGCCUAAGGCAGUUUCUCUAUGUGAAUGGAGGAGAAAGGACGAGGGAGUUGUAGCCUUUGGGAGUGGCUGCCGGGGGGCUGUGGGGCUGUGGGACCCUCCCAGCCCACCCAGCUCACACCAGCAGCUUGCUCUCACAGUGCACAGCUUACAAAGGAACAGUCUCGUGGGAUUUUUAUUUUAAUUUAAAACCUGCUUUUCCCAAAACUGAUCAAGAAGCUACGAUUUUUCCUACUUAGCGCAUUUACGGUUCAAAGCACACCUUUAUUUUGGUUCUUUUUUUGGAUUUUGGUGGUUUUUUUUUUUUUUAGUCAUUAUUUUAAACUAGAUCAACUUGCUGUCCAGUCAUUUCAGCUGCUCUGGGCACCCCAUGUGGACAGAGCAGUGUCCAGCUUGCAUGGUUUCCUUUAUUAUCCAUCACUUUCUGUAAUGUCAAAUUAGAAAGCAACUUUGGUUGGUUUUGAUUUCUUUUUUUUUUCUUUUUUUUUCCUUUUUUUUUUGGGAAUACCUCAGUGCUACAAGUUUCACCCUAGAAGCAACGGAAGAUUUUAAUUUAUUGUAGUUGUAAACAGAAUUUAAAAGAAAUAAAGUAUAAAACAUCAUUGCACUGUGACUGGUAGGGGAAAAACUGACAGUUUCCUAUUUGCACAUGUUUAAUAUUUGGCUGUUAUAUAUAUGGUCCUCUGUUGGGGGAGGAAACUUAUGAAGGAUAUUUUUUAAUUUAAUUUUUUUAAUAUUGGUAAAUAGGCCUGCAACAGCAAACUAGAAGUACAACAUGGUAGGUGGCAUUAAGAACAUACUGUAGUGUGGAUAUAUUUCUUCUUUUUUUAACGUAAUAUUGACAAGUUUUAUUAAUAUUUUUUUAAAUUGUUACGUUUAUAAAUUUGGUACUUUAGGUACAGCCAGUAUAAGACACUGAAUGCGACAUUUGUUAAAAAGAGCUGCUGCACUCCUAUUUUUGUAAAUUUUACUAACAAGUAGACUAAUGUAGGCAUUCAAUAGACAAGGUAGAGCAAGGCAUCUUUAACAAAACAAGGCACCAUACUGCUAACCGAAAGGAGAAACCUUGUUUUUCUUGUUUUUAAAAAAAAAUCAUGCUUUUUAUGUAAUAUUUUAGGUUUUU